rnacentral:lncRNA from 15 species
UUUUAACGUCUUUUAAAUAAAUAUAUGUUUUAAGGAUAUUUGCCUUUAUUGACAGGACAGCUCAGGAUAGACAGGAAAGGGGGAGAGAAAGAGAGGAGAUGACAUGCAGCAAACAGCCACAGGUUGGACUCAAACCCCAGCUCUACCAGGGGAGCUACAAGGACGCUGCUGCAAAGGUGUUUAAAGACACAUAUAAUUGAAUUGACACUGCUAAAGUGUGAAACCGGUGAAAUGCAUCGUUUCCUGACUAAAAUGACUGAGUUUGAAUAUUGUUGGAAACAUUUGGGAUAAUGGAAGUACACAACUCAACAUAAUAUAUAACAUAGGUUGCACAUCAAUGAGCCACACUAGUUUAUUUUGACUCAAUCACACAUACACUGUCCUGCUGUACAAAUACUCACAAAAAAUAGUCCCCAAUGAGUGCAUUACAAAUUUCUUCCCCUUUGAGUUCAAAGAGCUGCAUUUCCUGUUUGUAUCAUUAUUUCCUUGUUUGGGUUAUUUUUUCCAUACUGUAUAAUUCAUUUUCUUUUGACGAUCACAGUUCUGUAUCAGUUACUGUUCAGUAAAUGGAAUGAAUCUGUUGAGGAGCAGGUCUUCUAAUGUUUGCAGACAAUAAAACACCUCUGGCAGCUUCAGUUGACAGAAUAUUUUGUAUCUAUGCUAGCACUGUUCAGAUAAAAACAAUGGUACAUUAGAAUUGCACCAACUUACCAAGAGAAGGCUACAUUAACUAAAUAUAGAUGACAAGCCAUUGCACUGAUGUUCACUGUCGUAUAUGUUUCUGUGGAAUACCUUAAAAUGUGAGAAACGUGAAGAAACUGUUCACAAAAGACAGAAGGAAAUAUUAACUUGAAACUGUUGCUGCCUUUUUACACAUUUGUUCAUUAAGUUAUUGUGUAAUGUCAUUGUCUGAAGAAAAUCCUACUGUAUUUUUAAUAAAGGUUUGGGACUGGAUACAUUUUCAGUAUAUAUAUAUAUAUAUAUAAAUAUAUAUAUUUGAAGUCUUACUGUUAUCAUGUCUUACUUUUUUCACCUUUUGUAGUUCCCCUGUGUGUCCACUGGAGGGCAACAAACAUUCAUGAUUCCACAUGAGCAUCAAGGCAGUUAGGACAACUUGAUCUCCAGACCAGGAAACUGUUCAUUUAGUUUUUCAUCAAUAAUUAUGUUAUUUGUAAUAAACACAUUAGUAAGGAAUAUAUUGAUAUUGAUAAAAUUAUAAUAAUGAUAAUUAUACUGACAUUAAUCACAAAUAUGUUGUAGUUGUUGCAGUACCACAAUGUGACCAGUGGCUGGUGCUGAACAUCCAUUCAUUCACACCUCAUUCUGUUUUGUAUAGAUCUACUAAUUCUUAGACAGACAGAGCAAACUGUUUUAAAUGAGGAAGGAUUGUAGUGGGAGCGCUGGGUGUCAGGUGUGACUGUGUGGCAAAUAGUUUCAGGUAGGAGGCCCCACUUUCCAGCCCAAGCUUCCCCAGAUAUGCAUUCCCUUUUCCCAGAUUUACAAUACUUUUUUUUUUCCUUAUUAAAACCCUGUUUCCUGGAGCACAUGCAUUUGGACUGGUUGUUGGAUGAAAAUAACAGGAUAAUGCAGUGCACAUAAAACAGGGUGUAACUGUCCUAGCCACUACAAACAAAACUUUUCUGUAUUUGACAUUUGAA